rnacentral:rRNA from 1 species
UUUAUGGAGAGUUUGAUCCUGGCUCAGGAUGAACGCUGGCGGCGUGCCUAAUACAUGCAAGUCGAGCGAACGGACGAGAAGCUUGCUUCUCUGAUGUUAGCGGCGGACGGGUGAGUAACACGUGGAUAACCUACCUAUAAGACUGGGAUAACUUCGGGAAACCGGAGCUAAUACCGGAUAAUAUUUUGAACCGCAUGGUUCAAAAGUGAAAGACGGUCUUGCUGUCACUUAUAGAUGGAUCCGCGCUGCAUUAGCUAGUUGGUAAGGUAACGGCUUACCAAGGCAACGAUGCAUAGCCGACCUGAGAGGGUGAUCGGCCACACUGGAACUGAGACACGGUCCAGACUCCUACGGGAGGCAGCAGUAGGGAAUCUUCCGCAAUGGGCGAAAGCCUGACGGAGCAACGCCGCGUGAGUGAUGAAGGUCUUCGGAUCGUAAAACUCUGUUAUUAGGGAAGAACAUAUGUGUAAGUAACUGUGCACAUCUUGACGGUACCUAAUCAGAAAGCCACGGCUAACUACGUGCCAGCAGCCGCGGUAAUACGUAGGUGGCAAGCGUUAUCCGGAAUUAUUGGGCGUAAAGCGCGCGUAGGCGGUUUUUUAAGUCUGAUGUGAAAGCCCACG